CGUACACUCCUACGGGAGGCAGCAGUGGGGAAUAUUGGACAAUGGGCGCAAGCCUGAUCCAGCCAUGCCGCGUGAGUGAUGAAGGCCCUAGGGUUGUAAAGCUCUUUCACCGGUGAAGAUAAUGACGGUAACCGGAGAAGAAGCCCCGACUAACUUCGUGCCAGCAGCCGCGGUAAUACGAAGGGGGCUAGCGUUGUUCGGAUUUACUGGGCGUAAAGCGCACGUAGGCGGACUAUUAAGUCAGGGGUGAAAUCCCGGGGCUCAACCCCGGAACUGCCUUUGAUACUGGUAGUCUUGAGUUCGAGAGAGGUGAGUGGAAUUCCGAGUGUAGAGGUGAAAUUCGUAGAUAUUCGGAGGAACACCAGUGGCGAAGGCGGCUCACUGGCUCGAUACUGACGCUGAGGUGCGAAAGCGUGGGGAGCAAACAGGAUUAGAUACCCGUGUAGUCCCAUG
rnacentral:rRNA from 1 species